UGGAUCAGUGGCGAACGGGUGAGUAACACGUGAGCAACCUGCCCCUGACUCUGGGAUAAGCGCUGGAAACGGCGUCUAAUACUGGAUACGAGUAGCGACCGCAUGGUCAGCUACUGGAAAGAUUUAUUGGUUGGGGAUGGGCUCGCGGCCUAUCAGCUUGUUGGUGAGGUAAUGGCUCACCAAGGCGUCGACGGGUAGCCGGCCUGAGAGGGUGACCGGCCACACUGGGACUGAGACACGGCCCAGACUCCUACGGGAGGCAGCAGUGGGGAAUAUUGCACAAUGGGCGCAAGCCUGAUGCAGCAACGCCGCGUGAGGGAUGACGGCCUUCGGGUUGUAAACCUCUUUUAGCAGGGAAGAAGCGAAAGUGACGGUACCUGCAGAAAAAGCGCCGGCUAACUACGUGCCAGCAGCCGCGGUAAUACGUAGGGCGCAAGCGUUAUCCGGAAUUAUUGGGCGUAAAGAGCUCGUAGGCGGUUUGUCGCGUCUGCUGUGAAAUCCGGAGGCUCAACCUCCGGCCUGCAGUGGGUACGGGCAGACUAGAGUGCGGUAGGGGAGAUUGGAAUUCCUGGUGUAGCGGUGGAAUGCGCAGAUAUCAGGAGGAACACCGAUGGCGAAGGCAGAUCUCUGGGCCGUAACUGACGCUGAGGAGCGAAAGGGUGGGGAGCAAACAGGCUUAGAUACCCUGGUAGUCCACCCCGUAAACGUUGGGAACUAGUUGUGGGGUCCAUUCCACGGAUUCCGUGACGCAGCUAACGCAUUAAGUUCCCCGCCUGGGGAGUACGGCCGCAAGGCUAAAACUCAAAGGAA
rnacentral:rRNA from 1 species